UACAGAGGGUGCGAGCGUUAAUCGGAAUUACUGGGCGUAAAGCGCGCGUAGGCGGCUUUGCAAGUUCGAUUGUGAAAUCCCCAGGCUUAACCUGGGAACUGCAUUCGAGACUGCAUAGCUAGAGUAUGGGAGAGGGAAGUGGAAUUUCAGGUGUAGCGGUGAAAUGCGUAGAUAUCUGAAGGAACAUCAGUGGCGAAAGCGACUUCCUGGACCAAUACUGACGCUCAUGUGCGGAAAGCGUGGGGAGCAAACAGG
rnacentral:rRNA from 1 species